AAAAACAUCUCUUUUUGUAAAUAAUUUAAAGUCUAAUCUGCUCAAUGAAUAAUUAAAUAGCUGCAGUAAAUUAACUGUACUAAGGUAGCAUAAUCAAUAGUUUUUUAAUUGAAAGCUGGAAUGAAGGAUUGAAUGAAAUAAUAAUUGUCUCAAUUUUAAUAAUUUUAGAAUUUUUUUUUUUAGUUAAAAAACUUAAAUAAUUUUAAAAGACGAGAAGACCCUAUAGAUUUUUAUAGUUUUAUUAAUAAUUUAUAAUAAUAUAAAUUAAUUUUUAUAAAUAAAAUUAUUAGAUUGGGGUAAUUUAUAAAUAAAAAAAAUUUUAAAAUAUUUAAAACAUAAAUAUAUGAAUGGUAGAUCUUAAAUAUAGAUAAUUAGAAUAAAAUACCUUAGGGAUAACAGCGUAAUAUUUUUAGAAAGAUCAUAUUAAUAAAAAUGUUUGCGACCUCGAUGUUGAAUUAAAAUAAAAUUAUAAUGAAGAAGUUAUAAAUUUUUAGUCUGUUCGACUAUUAAAAUUUUACG
rnacentral:rRNA from 1 species